rnacentral:rRNA from 1 species
UACGGAGGGGGCGAGCGUUGUCCGAAGUUACUGGGCGUAAAGCGCGCGUAGGCGGCUUCUUAAGUCGGAUGUGAAAGCCCUUGGCUCAACUGAGGAAGUGCACCCGAAACUGAGUGGCUAGAGUACGAAAGAGGGUCGCGGAAUUCCCGGUGUAGAGGUGAAAUUCGUAGAUAUCGGGAGGAACACCGGUGGCGAAGGCGGCGACCUGGGUCGAUACUGACGCUGAUGCGCGAAAGCGUGGGGAGCAAACAGG